AGGGUAAUAGCUCUGUGGUAGAGCACAUGCCUCGCAUGCAUGAGGUUCUGAUAUCAAUCCCCAGUCCCUCCA
rnacentral:tRNA from 1 species